rnacentral:rRNA from 1 species
UACAGCGGUCUCAAGCGUUGUUCGGAUUUAUUGGGCGUAAAGGGUGUGUAGGUGGCGCCGUAAGUCGGGUGUGAAAUUUCGGAGCUUAACUCCGAAACUGCAUUCGAUACUGCGGUGCUUGAGGACUGGAGAGGAGACUGGAAUUCAUGGUGUAGCAGUGAAAUGCGUAGAGAUCAUGAGGAAGACCAGUGGCGAAGGCGGGUCUCUGGACAGUUCCUGACACUGAGACACGAAGGCCAGGGGAGCAAACGGG